CGGCAAAAUAGGCUAUGACAAAGCCAGAGUACAGUAACAUCACGGCGGCACAGUAACAUCUCUCUUGAUGCCUGGCUAAACAAAGUCAGAACACCGUAACUCAACUUUAG